AAAUAAAAUCAUGGAUGAAACACAAGGUAAAUUUUAAGCGGCUCGACAAAGUGGGCGAUCUAACUGGCGCAGAAGAAUGACUAGCACGGUACCGCAGAUUGGAGAUGAGCCGACAUUUAGCCUAUAGCAAUAUAAAUACAGCGUUCAAAGACAAAUCAGUGAAAAGUAACUUUAUUUACAAACAUAUACACUAUUGAAAACCAUUUCAUAAUUUGGAUGAUAUAUUUAAGGGUGCAUGGUGUCCUAUGAUAGAGCGCCCGGCUCGAGUGCGGGAGGUCGUGGGUCCGAUCCCUGGCUGCGUCAUAAUGGUACUAGUAGCUUCCUUUCUUGGCACUAAGAGGACUGUCAGUAUAAUCUGACUUAGUGGGAUACCAUGUUACGUGUUUACGGCGUAAUAUUCCAGUGAGUCAGCAUUAUAAAGUUGGGAUAGUACAAUUUUCAGCUAUUAAAACAGUGCCACAGUUCGUUUCCGGCGGAACUAACAUAUCAUUCUGGGAAACAUCAGACGAUGGGGCGCCCACUUGUAGUCGUCCACGUUCCUUGGAAGCUGAUGAUACAGCGCCACAUGUUAAGGUGAGACAAACGUCACUGUCAAGCCUCGUAGAAGUCGUCUGCAAACUAAAGUAUUAGCAAGACAAUGACGAAAGCAGAUAUUCUAAAGACAGCUCCGUGUGAUAAUGCGCAUUCAAUAAUUUACAGAGUGUUGUGCUGCCGUACUAUUUUUGUUAAGUUCAUUUCUUUCUGGUAGAACAUUAGCUACUGUGUAUUAUGCCAUCGCAUACUGGGAGCAACCACACUUGGACAAAAGCCACAGAUGAGUAAUUAUCAUAAUUAUAUUACGCCCGGACUAAGCAUCUUUGUCGUGGUAAAAUAUGAUAAAACAUGGUUCAGCUAUAUGUUAUUCCUCAAAUAUUUUCUGAUUUUAUUCAAAAUUAAUGUGCCUUUAAAAGCUUUAAUGAGCACUGUAUGUCAUAUUCUUAAAGUCAUUCACUUUUUGAUAGUCUUCUUCGCCAACAUGGAGAAUAAUACAUUUAGAGUUUUAGGUUGCGGAACCCGUUAGAAUAAUCGGGCAAUAUUUUAUAUCUUUGUAUGCGAUUUCGGAUUUUCCUCUGUUAUUACUGAAAGUCAUAUGCACGUUUAGCUACAUGUACGAUCGGAGAAUGCCGAAUUACGUCACGGCAAUACGUAAUUAGACGGAAAUUACCGAGUGUCAUUACGUCACCAUUACCUUAACUAUAAAGGAAUCUAACAUUUUUUCAGUAAGUAUUUUGAAUACACUGUAAUUGAAAUUAUGAAACCUCAUAAAAUGUAAACGCCACUUUUGUUUCAAAAAUGUAGUUGCUAGACAAAUUAUUGGUUGAAAUGAAAUACGUUUAUAAACUGAUACCCACCUCACUUUUCCCGCUUUUUGUUAAUAACGGCACAUCUAUAAAAUUGUAGGUCAUACUACAACUAAAUAUAGAUCAUGUCUGUUGCU
rnacentral:lncRNA from 1 species